AUUGAACGCUAGCGGGAUGCCUUACACAUGCAAGUCGAACGAGUGGCGAACGGGUGAGUAAUGUAUCGGAACGUGCCCAGUAGCGGGGGAUAACUAGACGAAAGAUUAGCUAAUACCGCAUACUAUAGGAGCCGCCGAUGUCUGAUUAGCUAGUGGGUGGGGUAAAGGCCCACCAAGGCGACGAUCAGUAGCUGGUCUGAGAGGACGAUCAGCCACACUGGGACUGGGACACGGCCCAGACUCCUACGGGAGGCAGCAGUGGGGAAUUUUGGACAAUGGGCGAAAGCCUGAUCCAGCAAUGCCGCGUGUGUGAAGAAGGCCUUCGGGUUGUAAAGCACUUUUGUCCGGAAAGCGGUACCGGAAGAAUAAGGACCGGCUAACUACGUGCCAGCAGCCGCGGUAAUUC
rnacentral:rRNA from 1 species